UUAUGUGUGAACCUAGCAAAGGAUGAUAGCGUGGUAGGCUACGUUAAUGUUAACCUUUAGGCUACUUGCACUGUCUUGCGCAGACAAGCAAAAAAACGGAGUUCAAUUGUUAAACUAAUUUGCCUCAAUGAAUAUUCAUGAAGGCCCACUGGUGGUUCAACAUUUUAGUCUCGUCAACGUAAACACAUUUUUGAAAAACAUUAAUUUGACUCGAACUCAACCAUUCUAACCAUGUAGAACCUUCAUCGUAGUCCACUGGCGUAGGCCUAUACAAAAUGUGUAAUGCGUAAUAUAGCCUAACCACCCAGAAUAGGUCAACAUCAAUUAUGUCCAAGCAUCACUUGACUUCCGCAGUAAGAGAAAACUUUCGACAGACGAGCGACGGGAUAAGAAUUCUACCUCCAGCGUUCGGAAAUCAGGACUUGUCUUCACAUGAGGAAUACCGGACAGCAUUUGUGAUCCACCUGUCCUCCAAAUCAGUUUUGAGAGCGCAAAGGGACCCAGAGGGGCAGUAGAAGCCAAACUUUGAUGAAGAGGUGAAGGUGAGACGCAGGCCCGGACGGAAGGAUUAUCUGAUCGUACGUGUCCUUGAAUAAACCCUAAGCGAACAGGCAGAAUUCCAGAACGAUAGCUCGAUAUCAGCCGAAGUCCCGCUGUCGAACACAGGUCUCCGUGAAAAAGACUAUUUAAACACCGCUUGCCCUUCUACUGCUGGAUACAACUUACGUUAACUGCACAAGAAUGUCCGCUGACGCAACCGCCAAAGCACGCACCAUGGACAUAAAUCAGAUUUCUAUCCCUUUUCAUACUGUAAAGAUGAAGUAACAUGAUACGCCCAAGUACGACACGUUACAUUAUAAUUCCACCCACAAGACCGACCGAUUGGGUGCAUUAAUGCUGAACUGUCCUUACAUGAUGUAACUGCUUAGUAGGCCCAUUUUUGUACUUUUGGACAAUUAAAUAUUAUGUAUAUCUUCUUUCAAAUGGAGAAUGUCUGUUGUUGGUUUGGUUGCCUUCUCACCAAACAGAGCAUAGGCUACAUGGAUAUAUGUUAUAGCUAAUCUUGGAAUUGUAAUUUGUUUGCAUAUAAAUAGAAAGACAAUAAAAUAAAGC